rnacentral:rRNA from 1 species
GGUUAAGCGACUAAGCGUACACGGUGGAUGCCCUGGCAGUCAGAGGCGAUGAAGGACGUGCUAAUCUGCGAAAAGCGUCGGUAAGGUGAUAUGAACCGUUAUAACCGGCGAUGUCCGAAUGGGGAAACCCAGUGCAAUUCGUUGCACUAUCGUUAACUGAAUACAUAGGUUAACGAGGCGAACCGGGGGAACUGAAACAUCUAAGUACCCCGAGGAAAAGAAAUCAAGCGAGAUUCCCCCAGUAGCGGCGAGCGAACGGGGAGCAGCCCAGAGUCUGAAUCAGCUUGUGUGUUAGUGGAACGGUCUGGAAAGUCCGACGGUACAGGGUGAUAGUCCCGUACACCAAAAUGCACAGGCUGUGAACUCGAAGAGUAGGGCGGGACACGUGGUAUCCUGUCUGAAUAUGGGGGGACCAUCCUCCAAGGCUAAAUACUCCUGACUGACCGAUAGUGAACCAGUACCGUGAGGGAAAGGCGAAAAGAACCCCGGCGAGGGGAGUGAAAAAGAACCUGAAACCGUGUACGUACAAGCAGUGGGAGCACCUUCGGGUGUGACUGCGUACCUUUUGUAUAAUGGGUCAGCGACUUAUAUUCUGUAGCAAGGUUAACCGUAUAGGGGAGCCGCAGGGAAACCGAGUCUUAACUGGGCGUUAAGUUGCAGGGUAUAGACCCGAAACCCGGUGAUCUAGCCAUGGGCAGGUUGAAGGUUGGGUAACACUAACUGGAGGACCGAACCGACUAAUGUUGAAAAAUUAGCGGAUGACUUGUGGCUGGGGGUGAAAGGCCAAUCAAACCGGGAGAUAGCUGGUUCUCCCCGAAAGCUAUUUAGGUAGCGCCUCGUGAACUCAUCUUCGGGGGUAGAGCACUGUUUCGGCUAGGGGGUCAUCCCGACUUACCAACCCGAUGCAAACUACGAAUACCGAAGAAUGUUAUCACGGGAGACACACGGCGGGUGCUAACGUCCGUCGUGAAGAGGGAAACAACCCAGACCGCCAGCUAAGGUCCCAAAGUCAUGGUUAAGUGGGAAACGAUGUGGGAAGGCACAGACAGCCAGGAUGUUGGCUUAGAAGCAGCCAUCAUUUAAAGAAAGCGUAAUAGCUCACUGGUCGAGUCGGCCUGCGCGGAAGAUGUAACGGGGCUAAACCAUGCACCGAAGCUGCGGCAGCGACACUAUGUGUUGUUGGGUAGGGGAGCGUUCUGUAAGCCUGCGAAGGUGUGCUGUGAGGCAUGCUGGAGGUAUCAGAAGUGCGAAUGCUGACAUAAGUAACGAUAAAGCGGGUGAAAAGCCCGCUCGCCGGAAGACCAAGGGUUCCUGUCCAACGUUAAUCGGGGCAGGGUGAGUCGACCCCUAAGGCGAGGCCGAAAGGCGUAGUCGAUGGGAAACAGGUUAAUAUUCCUGUACUUGGUGUUACUGCGAAGGGGGGACGGAGAAGGCUAUGUUAGCCGGGCGACGGUUGUCCCGGUUUAAGCAUGUAGGCUGGUUGUCCAGGCAAAUCCGGAUAAUCAAGGCUGAGGUGUGAUGACGAGGCACUACGGUGCUGAAGUAACAAAUGCCCUGCUUCCAGGAAAAGCCUCUAAGCAUCAGGUAACAUCAAAUCGUACCCCAAACCGACACAGGUGGUCAGGUAGAGAAUACCAAGGCGCUUGAGAGAACUCGGGUGAAGGAACUAGGCAAAAUGGUGCCGUAACUUCGGGAGAAGGCACGCUGGUGUGUAGGUGAAGCCCCUGCGGGUGGAGCUGAGACCAGUCGAAGAUACCAGCUGGCUGCAACUGUUUAUUAAAAACACAGCACUGUGCAAACACGAAAGUGGACGUAUACGGUGUGACGCCUGCCCGGUGCCGGAAGGUUAAUUGAUGGGGUUAUCCGUAAGGAGAAGCUCUUGAUCGAAGCCCCGGUAAACGGCGGCCGUAACUAUAACGGUCCUAAGGUAGCGAAAUUCCUUGUCGGGUAAGUUCCGACCUGCACGAAUGGCGUAAUGAUGGCCAGGCUGUCUCCACCCGAGACUCAGUGAAAUUGAACUCGCUGUGAAGAUGCAGUGUACCCGCGGCAAGACGGAAAGACCCCGUGAACCUUUACUAUAGCUUGACACUGAACAUUGAGCCUUGAUGUGUAGGAUAGGUGGGAGGCUUUGAAGCGUGGACGCCAGUCUGCGUGGAGCCAACCUUGAAAUACCACCCUUUAAUGUUUGAUGUUCUAACGUUGGCCCCUUACCGGGGUUGCGGACAGUGUCUGGUGGGUAGUUUGACUGGGGCGGUCUCCUCCCAAAGCGUAACGGAGGAGCACGAAGGUUAGCUAAUCCUGGUCGGACAUCAGGAGGUUAGUGCAAUGGCAUAAGCUAGCUUGACUGCGAGCGUGACGGCGCGAGCAGGUGCGAAAGCAGGUCAUAGUGAUCCGGUGGUUCUGAAUGGAAGGGCCAUCGCUCAACGGAUAAAAGGUACUCCGGGGAUAACAGGCUGAUACCGCCCAAGAGUUCAUAUCGACGGCGGUGUUUGGCACCUCGAUGUCGGCUCAUCACAUCCUGGGGCUGAAGUAGGUCCCAAGGGUAUGGCUGUUCGCCAUUUAAAGUGGUACGCGAGCUGGGUUUAGAACGUCGUGAGACAGUUCGGUCCCUAUCUGCCGUGGGCGCUGGAGAAUUGAGGGGGGCUGCUCCUAGUACGAGAGGACCGGAGUGGACGCAUCACUGGUGUUCGGGUUGUCAUGCCAAUGGCACUGCCCGGUAGCUAAAUGCGGAAGAGAUAAGUGCUGAAAGCAUCUAAGCACGAAACUUGCCCCGAGAUGAGUUCUCCCUGAGACUUUAAGUCUCCUGAAGGAACGUUGAAGACGACGACGUUGAUAGGCCGGGUGUGUAAGCGCAGCGAUGCGUUGAGCUAACCGGUACUAAUGAACCGUGAGGCUUAACCUU